UUCUGAACCCCAAUGUAUCCAUAAAAUAAAGGUCUUUUUUUUAAUCUACUUCACAAAGCCAUGUUGGAGGUAAAAAAGAGAAUAAAUAUGUGAGAACUCCCAACACAGACUCUGGCACAUAGGUGGCACUCAGUAAGGGUGAGUUCUCUUCCUCUUCACUAUGCACUAAUCUAUGUUCAGAUUAAACAAAACAUUGCCUUUUGUACUUGUGUCUCUUGCUUUUUCCCCCUCUGAUAUCUUCCACUUAUUUUUCAGAAGUAACCUAACGGUACUUGAAGGAAAUGAGAGUCAAAGUCCUUUCCCUUCUAUAGCACAAAGGGCCUCUCCACCCCUUUUCCCAAAGUUAAGUGAUUCUAUGUAUUCAACCAGCAGCUGUGGGACUGAGGCCAUGUUGGGAGAGGGAGUGAAGUAUGACAUGAGAUCACCCAUGUCUUCCUAUUUCCAGGUAGUCAGGGAGGAAUGCCCUAACUGAGCUUGGGGAAGCCCUUGAAUGUGGCAGAAUGGCCAACUCUUCCAAAGUGAAAGUCUACAACCCAACGUGGCAGCAGGAGAAGAAUUUCUCUUCGCUCCUCACCCCAUCCUCCAUUACUACCAAACCUGGAGUUCCAGAGAGAAUGUUGCAGGAAGUCAGGGACCCGGAAAAGAGGGACUGACUGAAGCCAUGGCAGGAGAACAUAAAUUGUGAAGAUUUCAUGGACAUUUAUUAGUUCCCCAAAUUAAAACUUUUAUAAUUUCUUAUGCCUGUCUUUACUGCAAUCUGUGAACAUAAAUUGUGAAGAUUUCAUGGACAUUUAUCACUUCCCUAAUCAAUACUCUUGUGAUUUCCUAUACCUGUCUUUAAUCUCUUAAUCCCAUCAUCUUCAUAAGCUGAGGAUGUAUGUCCACUCAGGAUCCUGUCAUGAUUGCGUUAACUGCACAAAUUGUUUGUAACCAUGUGUGUUUAAACAAUAUGAAAUCUGGGCACCUUGAAAAAAGAACAGGAUAACAGUGAUGUUCAUGGAACAAGGGCGAUAACCAUUAGGUCUGGCUGCCUGAGAGCCAGGUGGAACAGAGCCAUAUUUCUCUUCUUUCAAAAGUAAAUAGGAGAAAUAUUGCUGAAUUCCUUUUCUCAGCAAGGAACAGCCCUGAGAAAGAGAAUGCAUUCCCAGGGGUAGGUCUCUAAACUGGCCGCUCUGGGAAUGUCUGUCUUUUAUGGUUGAAGAUAAGGGAUGAAAUAAGCCCUGGUCUCCAGUAGCACUCCCAGGCCUAUUACGGUGAGUAAAUUCUCACCUAGUAAAUUUUUAGUCAGACUGGUUGUCUGCUCUCAAACCCUGUCUCCUGAUAAGAUGUUAUCAAUGACAAUGCGUGCCUGAAACUUCAUUAGCAAUUUUAAUUUCGCCCCCGUCCUGUGAUCUCACCCUGCCUCCAUUUGCCUUGUAAUAUUUUAUUACCUUGUGAAGCAUGUGAUCUCUGUGACCCAUACCCUAUUCAUACACUCCCUCCCCUUUUGAAAAUCACUAAUAAAAACUUGCUGGUUUUGCGGCUUGGGGGGCAUCAUGGAACCUGCCGACAUGUGUGUGUCUCCCGUGGAUACCCAGCUUUAAAAUUUCUCUCUUUUGUACUCUUUCCCUUUAUUUCUCCGACUGACCAACACUUAGGGAAAUAGAAAAGAACCUACGUGAAAUAACGUUGAAUUAUUGGGGGCGGGUUCCCCUGAUAAGGGAAGAGUCUGUUUAUUACUUAUUUUAUCUUUCCUAAAAUACCUAACAUGGGGAUUC
rnacentral:lncRNA from 1 species